AACUCAAAGGAAUUGACGGGGGCCCGCACAAGCGGCGGAGCAUGUGGCUUAAUUGGACGCAACGCGAAGAACCUUACCAAGGCUUGACAUACACCGGAAAGCAUCAGAGAUGGUGCCCCCCUUGUGGUCGGUGUACAGGUGGUGCAUGGCUGUUGUCAGCUCGUGUCGUGAGAUGUUGGGUUAAGUCCCGCAACGAGCGCAACCCUUGUCCCGUGUUGCCAGCAAGCCCUUCGGGGUGUUGGGGACUCACGGGAGACCGCCGGGGUCAACUCGGAGGAAGGUGGGGAGGACGUCAAGUCAUCAUGCCCCUUAUGUCUUGGGCUGCACACGUGCUACAAUGGCCGGUACAAUGAGCUGCGAUACCGCAAGGUGGAGCGAAUCUCAAAAAGCCGGUCUCAGUUCGGAUUGGGGUCUGCAACUCGACCCCAUGAAGUCGGAGUCGAUAGUAAUCGCAGAUCAGCAUUGCUGCGGUGAAUACGUUCCCGGGCCUUGUACACACCGCCCGUCACGUCACGAAAGUCGGUAACACCCGAAGCCGGUGGCCCAACCCCUAUGGGAGGGAGCUAUUGGAGUGGGGGCCUCCCAUCCCG
rnacentral:rRNA from 1 species